rnacentral:lncRNA from 1 species
GUCAACUCAUGGGGUCGACCUCUGCACAGGGGUCGACCUCUGUGGCAUAGAACAGAAAAUCACUAUUCUAUAUCUUUGGCCUGCACAGCAAUAGAGGUCGACUCAUGGGGUUGUCUCCUUUAGGUGUGCCAGCCAAAAAUAGCAUGCUGUUCGGCCCCUUUUGAUAGGAGUCGACUCAUAGGAUCGACACAAUUCUUUAAACUUGAAUUUCUCUCAAUAUAUUCAUCCAAAAAGUAUGAAAUUGCCUCCAA